AAGAAGAAGGAGAAGAAGGAGAAGAAGAAGAAGAGGAAGAGAAGAAGUAGAAGUGGGUGAAGAGGCGGCACAUCUGUUUUCUACAGGAGGAAACAGAGGAGAGGAGGUGCUGUGCGUCGGGGAGAAGAAGGGGAGGAAGGAGAAGAAGAGAAGAAGAAGAAAGGAAGGAGAAGGAAGAGGAGAAGGGAAAGAAGUAGCAGCGGCUGCGGCUAUGGCAGCUGCAGCUGUGGCAAGAAAAGAGGGAGA
rnacentral:lncRNA from 1 species